UUAAUUGAAACCAAAAAGAGGUAUGUUAUUGUUAAUAACAUUAUUGAAUAAUAAUUCCAAUUAAG
rnacentral:tRNA from 2 species